UACGAAGGGGGCUAGCGUUGCUCGGAAUCACUGGGCGUAAAGCGCACGUAGGCGGACUCUUAAGUCAGGGGUGAAAUCCUGGAGCUCAACUCCAGAACUGCCUUUGAUACUGGGAGUCUUGAGUUCGGGAGAGGUGAGUGGAACUGCGAGUGUAGAGGUGAAAUUCGUAGAUAUUCGCAAGAACACCAGUGGCGAAGGCGGCUCACUGGCCCGAUACUGACGCUGAGGUGCGAAAGCG
rnacentral:rRNA from 1 species